rnacentral:rRNA from 1 species
UACGUAGGGACCAAGCGUUGUUCGGAUUUACUGGGCGUAAAGGGCGCGUAGGCGGCGUGACAAGUCACUUGUGAAAUCUCUGGGCUUAACCCAGAACGGCCAAGUGAAACUGUUGUGCUAGAGUGCAGAAGGGGCAAUCGGAAUUCUUGGUGUAGCGGUGAAAUGCGUAGAUAUCGAGAGGAACACCAGAGGUGAAGACGGGUUGCUGGGCUGACACUGACGCUGAGGCGCGAAAGCCAGGGGAGCAGACGGG